rnacentral:tRNA from 1 species
AUAAGCUCAGUUGUUAGAGCAUGCUGCUCAUAAUGCCACGGUGUGGGUUCAAACCCCAUAU